UACGGGGGGGGCAAGCGUUGUUCGGAAUUACUGGGCGUAAAGGGCUCGUAGGCGGCCAACUAAGUCAGACGUGAAAUCCCUCGGCUUAACCGGGGAACUGCGUCUGAUACUGGAUGGCUUGAAUCCGGGAGAGGGGGGUGGAAUUCCAGGUGUAGCGGUGAAAUGCGUAGAUAUCUGGAGGAACACCGGUGGCGAAGGCGGUGUCCUGGACCAAUACUGACACUGAGGAGCGAAAGCCAGGGGAGCAAACGGG
rnacentral:rRNA from 1 species